CGCAAGCCUGAUGCAGCCAUGCCGCGUGUGUGAAGAAGGCCUUCGGGUUGUAAAGCACUUUCAGUCGUGAGGAAGGUAGUGUAGUUAAUAGCUGCAUUAUUUGACGUUAGCGACAGAAGAAGCACCGGCUAACUCCGUGCCAGCAGCCGCGGUAAUACGGAGGGUGCGAGCGUUAAUCGGAAUUACUGGGCGUAAAGCGCAUGCAGGUGGUUUGUUAAGUCAGAUGUGAAAGCCCGGGGCUCAACCUCGGAAUAGCAUUUGAAACUGGCAGACUAGAGUACUGUAGAGGGGGGUAGAAUUUCAGGUGUAGCGGUGAAAUGCGUAGAGAUCUGAAGGAAUACCGGUGGCGAAGGCGGCCCCCUGGACAGAUACUGACACUCAGAUGCGAAAGCGUGGGGAGCAAACAGGAUUAGAUACCCUGGUAGUCCACGCCGUAAACGAUGUCUACUUGGAGGUUGUGGCCUUGAGCCGUGGCUUUCGGAGCUAACGCGUUAAGUAGACCGCCUGGGGAGUACGGUCGCAAGAUUAAAACUCAAAUGAAUUGACGGGGGCCCGCACAAGCGGUGGAGCAUGUGGUUUAAUUCGAUGCAACGCGAAGAACCUUACCUACUCUUGACAUCCAGAGAACUUUCCAGAGAUGGAUUGGUGCCUUCGGGAACUCUGAGACAGGUGCUGCAUGGCUGUCGUCAGCUCGUGUU
rnacentral:rRNA from 1 species